UACGGAGGAUGCAAGCGUUAUCCGGAAUGAUUGGGCGUAAAGGGUCCGCAGGUGGCAGUGUAAGUCUGCUGUCAAAGAAUGAGGCUUAACCUCAUCAAGGCAGUGGAAACUACACAGCUAGAGUACGGUCGGGGUAGAAGGAAUUCCUGGUGUAGCGGUGAAAUGCGUAGAGAUCAGGAAGAACACCGGUGGCGAAAGCGUUCUGCUAGACCUGUACUGACACUGAUGCGCGAAAGCCAGGGGAGCGAACGGG
rnacentral:rRNA from 1 species